rnacentral:rRNA from 1 species
GAUGAACGCUGGCGGCGUGCCUAAUACAUGCAAGUCGAGCGAACAGACGAGGAGCUUGCUCCUCUGACGUUAGCGGCGGACGGGUGAGUAACACGUGGAUAACCUACCUAUAAGACUGGGAUAACUUCGGGAAACCGGAGCUAAUACCGGAUAAUAUAUUGAACCGCAUGGUUCAAUAGUGAAAGACGGUUUUGCCGUCACUUAUAGAUGGAUCCGCGCCGCAUUAGCUAGUUGGUAAGGUAACGGCUUACCAAGGCAACGAUGUGUAGCCGACCUGAGAGGGUGAUCGGCCACACUGGAACUGAGACACGGUCCAGACUCCUACGGGAGGCAGCAGUAGGGAAUCUUCCGCAAUGGGCGAAAGCCUGACGGAGCAACGCCGCGUGAGUGAUGAAGGUCUUCGGAUCGUAAAACUCUGUUAUUAGGGAAGAACAAAUGUGUAAGUAACUAUGCACGUCUUGACGGUACCUAAUCAGAAAGCCACGGCUAACUACGUG